rnacentral:rRNA from 1 species
UACGAAGGGGGCUAGCGUUGCUCGGAAUCACUGGGCGUAAAGGGCGCGUAGGCGGCCAUUCAAGUCGGAGGUGAAAGCCCAGGGCUCAACCCUGGAAUUGCCUUCGAUACUGUUGGCUAGAGACCGGAAGAGGUAAGUGGAACUGCGAGUGUAGAGGUGAAUUCGUAGAUAUUCGCAAGAACACCAGUGGCGAAGGCGGCUCACUGGCCCGAUACUGACGCUGAGGCACGAAAGCGUGGGGAGCAAACAGG